GAUGAACGCUGGCGGCGUGCUUAACACAUGCAAGUCGAACGAAGCACUUUAUUUGAUUUCCUUCGGGACUGAUUAUUUUGUGACUGAGUGGCGGACGGGUGAGUAACGCGUGGGUAACCUGCCUUGUACAGGGGGAUAACAGUUGGAAACGGCUGCUAAUACCGCAUAAGCGCCCAGCAUCGCAUGAUGCAGUGUGAAAAACUCCGGUGGUAUAAGAUGGACCCGCGUUGGAUUAGCUAGUUGGUGAGGUAACGGCCCACCAAGGCGACGAUCCAUAGCCGACCUGAGAGGGUGACCGGCCACAUUGGGACUGAGACACGGCCCAAACUCCUACGGGAGGCAGCAGUGGGGAAUAUUGCACAAUGGGCGAAAGCCUGAUGCAGCGACGCCGCGUGAGCGAAGAAGUAUUUCGGUAUGUAAAGCUCUAUCAGCAAGGAAGAUAAUGACGGUACCUGACUAAGAAGCACCGGCUAAAUACGU
rnacentral:rRNA from 1 species